CAGAUGCUGCAGAGACCCCAACUGAGAUCUGGGCCCUGUUCUGCCAGGCACCGAAGAGACCCCAGACCCAGCUAUGAUGAUGGGGAAGGUUCCCUCCUUCUCCCCCGGCUCCACAGUGAGCUCCGCUCUGCCCAGCUACGUCGCUCUCUGCCUCGCUCUACAGGUGCAGAGGCUGGUGUCAGCACAGUUCACAGUGACUGGACCUGAUCGUCCAAUCACAGCAUCUGUCAGUGGGGAGGCCGUCCUGCCCUGCCACCUCUCCCCCAGGAUGAGCGCUCAGAGCAUGGAGGUGAGAUGGGUCCGAUCCCAGGACUCUGCAGUUGUGCACCUGUACCAAAAUGGGCAGGAUCAGUAUGAAAAUCAGAUGUUGGACUAUCAAGGAAGAACAGAGCUGCUGAAAGAUGACAUCACCAGUGGAAGUGUUUCCCUGAGAAUACGUGAUAUCCGACCUUCUGACGAAGGUCUGACGCUUGUUUAUUUCAAUCACUUACCUUUUUUCAAGGCGCCUCAGUGCUCCUGUAGGUGGAAGGCUUGGGCUCUGGCCCUGACAUCUCUGUGGAGGGACAUCAGGACGGAGGGAUCAAGGUGGUGUGUCGUUCAUCCAGAUGGUACCCACAGUCCGAGGCUCAGUGGAGAGAUCUUCAGGGACAGUUCUUACCAUCAGCCUCUGAAAACAUAUCCCAAGCAGCCGGUGGCCUGUUUCAAACAGAGAUUGCCAUUGUUAUAACAGAAGAGUCCAACCAGAAAGGGUCCUGCUGUGUUAGGAACCCGCGUGUCAACCAGGAGAGAGAGUCAGCAAUUUACAUAGCAGGGAUUCUGCUAACUGAAAUGGAGCGUGAGAAUGAGAGACUGCAAUCUGAACUGGCGAAACAGAAAGGUCAGUGUCUGUGAUCCACAAAACCCCACUUGGCUGACGCCUAAUCCUGUAGGCAUCUAAACUCACUCAGGGCAUAAACCCGAGCUCUAAAAGUUCUCCUGUUGUCUAAGUUUCUGUCUCUGGGCAUGCAUGCUGCUGUCUCAGUCUAGGCAUCUGAGCACCUACCUCCCACCUGAAUCUCAGCAUGAUCCGCAAAGCAGGGGAAGAUGGGUGGAG